rnacentral:rRNA from 1 species
GAUCCUACGGGGGGCAGCAGUGGGGAAUAUUGCACAAUGGGGGAAACCCUGAUGCAGCGACGCCGCGUGAGUGAAGAAGUAUUUCGGUAUGUAAAGCUCUAUCAGCAGGGAAGAAAAAAGACGGUACCUGACUAAGAAGCCCCGGCUAACUACGUGCCAGCAGCCGCGGUAAUACGUAGGGGGCAAGCGUUAUCCGGAUUUACUGGGUGUAAAGGGAGCGUAGACGGCUGUGCAAGUCUGAAGUGAAAGCCCAGGGCUCAACCCUGGGACUGCUUUGGAAACUGUGGAG